AACGUGUAGGGCAAACGUUGUUCGGAAUUACUGGGCGUAAAGGGCGCGUAGGCGGUCUGAAUAGUCGAAGUUGAAAUCCUGGAGCUCAACUCCAGAACUGGCUUCGAAACUGUCGGACUUGAGGGUGACAGGGGAGUGUGGAACUUCUGGUGGAGCGGUGAAAUGCGUAGAUAUCAGAAGGAACACCGGUGGCGAAGGCGACGCUCUGGGUCACUCCUGACGCUGAGGCGCGAAAGCGUGGGGAGCAAACAGG
rnacentral:rRNA from 1 species